UUUGAAGGAAAGUUUUUCUGCAUGUUUUUCUAACCAAGUAAUUAUGCACUAAACAAGUGAAUUGACAAAGAAUACCAACAAAUUUAUUGUCCCAAAAAAAAACUAUAAUCAUGCACUGAAAAACAACCUUUUGUCAACAAAAGAAUGGCACAAAUUUCCAUUGAUAAAGUAUUCAUUUUCAUGUUGUGAAGAAUACAACUUUCUACAUCAGAUGAGAUAUAUGUUAAAGAAAGCAUUAAAAAUAAGAAUAACAAAUCAUACCGCUCUUCAUUGCCAGAACCUCCGCCACCUAUUAUGAAUAAGCCCAAUGCUAAAA